rnacentral:lncRNA from 1 species
GACAUCUGUAUUUUGGAGUUUGGAGUGCCCUUGGCACACAGACCCCACCAGUCCACUGCCCUCAUGAGUUUCAAAACCUGGAUCCACGCUACCACUUCUCAGUUUAACCUCACGUCUCUCCAUUGCUUCUCUGCGCCUGCCAAUAGCAGAGAGAGUCCUAACAGACUACAUGCACUGGGCGCUCGCUCUAGAAUUAUCCCCCUUAAGCCUCAUAACAACCCUAUGAACUUGUUGCGUACUGCUGAAUGUUCUCAGCACCAACGCGGUUGUGGAAGCCACGGGUCUGAAAAGAUUGCUCCAGGAGACAGUGUGCUGUGAGGAUGGAGGCGGGGAGAGGAGGAAUCGCUGAUGAGAUCCUGGGGGACACUGACGCCUAAGGGGCUCUGAGGAAGAGGAGACCCAGAAGGGCCGGCACAGAAAGUGCCAGAUGUCCAGGGGAUGGUCUGCAGGGGGGAAGCUACAAAGUGGACGAGUAAGUGAGCACCAAAAGGUGUCCCCUGGACUUAGCACUCCAGAAGCCAUCGGUGACCUUGGCAGGGGCCUUCUUUUAUUUCUUUACCAAGUGGGGAGGAGACUGGAGCAGGCAAAGCAGGAACCUAAUAGCAGUGGGUUGAAGAAAGGCUGGGAGGGAGCAAGGUGGGCUCAGCCAGUGCAGACUUCUCUUCCAGGAAUGAGGAAGCAGCAGGGGGAUGCUAGAUGGAAGGGUGGCUUUGGGGAUUUGGGUUUAGGUUGUUGUUGUUAUUGUUUUUUUAAACUGGGAAUAUCCUUAGCAAAUUUAUAUGCUGAGGAAAAGGAGCCGGCAGAGGUAAGGCUGAAGAUGUCAGUGAAAGAGGGGGGUGAAGGCAAGAGGUGGCCGAGGCCACACCCUGAGGGGUCCAAGCCGCAGACUGGAGAACAUCCCUUCCUCUCCUGGGGAGGAGGGAGCUGUGACAGGUGCUGUCCGGUGGCCUCUAUUUCCUCUGACAAAUGGGAGACAGAGAGUGACGGGGACCAACAGAGAAGAGUGGUGGAGUUUGUAACAACCAGUUUGGGAGAACAGGAGGAGGUUGCCAAGAGACACAGCUGAAGGGCAGUG